AGAAAGCAGGAACAAAGACACAGAACAAACCCUUCCCUCAUGAAUGUCACUGGACCAGGCUUCAGGACUGAAGGCAGCAGAGAGCUCCACAAAGCAGGGUCAGAAGACUUGGGGCAAAUGUCUUCUUCCCAACAAAUAGAAAAAGUUCCCAUGAGCAGCGUGUGGAAAGGCCACCUUCUCUGUAAACAAGGACAGGAAUGUCUGUAAACCUUACUCAGAAGCCUGAGAUAGUAGAUUUUUGGUCAUUUAUUGCCUAAAUCACCAUUUUUUCCCCACUGCCUGCCCUCAGACAGAAUUGUACUCUCUGACUGUGACUUUGGAGGCAGGUACAGAAGGAAUCACCGAAAGGUAUCUGAAGUAAGUGCUUUCCUGAGCAGGUCCCUACGUGAAGCUACAGUUCAUUCUCAAAUAAAAUAGUAUUUUUCAGGGUGGGGGGGAUUGUUCACUGCUAAAGUUAUUCACAGUGACUGUCCCUAUAACAGCAAUAACAUUUAAGAGUUUGAUGUCAAAAAUGUCUCCUUGGUUGUGCAGAAAUAUCUCUGAGUCAACUUUAGUUCUCCAAGAGUAUAGGACCCUUAUGGGUAUCAUUAGGAUCAAAGUUCAUCCAAGUUCAAAGAAUUUAUACUAAGAUAUUUAUGCAUUAUCAUAGUUCUAGCCACCUUUUCUCCUCUUGGGAUGUCAGACUUGGAGCUCAAUAGUGUUCUGAUGGAGGGAACAUAAC
rnacentral:lncRNA from 1 species